CACCAAUCAGAUAAACUCUAACAGCACUCUGUACUGUUGAGUGUAUAAGGAAACAGACACACUAAAACCUUGUUGGUGAAAGUAUAUACCGAUAAAAUGUUAACGGAGAACAAUUUGGAAAUGUGGGAGAUGAUGCAUUUACAUGUAUGUAUUACGUACUUCAGCAUUGAUAUAACAGGAAAAGUGGCAGGGACUACUAAAGCAUAUUACAUGCAGUCGAUGGGGUGAAUGCUCUACAGCCAUCACAAAGAAUGAGGCAGUCCUAUAAGUACCAAGAUGAAGUGAUCUUUUAGAUACCCAGAGCAGCAGAUCUUUUUCCUUGUUGGCUUCACUACUGGUAGAGUCAUCUUUGGUAAGGUAAUGCAGAACAUCUAAUUCAAGAAUAUGGCCUCCCAUAAAUACUGAGGAAUAAAGCUACCAAUUGGGGAAAGAGCUUUUUAUAAAGCAGUGUAAAAAUCUACAAAUUACCUAGAACACAGAACAUCCUGCAGAAAACUCUAACUAAAAACAUCCAAAACUGAAUUCUUUACUGCACUUGCAUGCUAACCUGUCUCAUCAUCCUACCAAAUCUGUUUCUUUUCCUUCUCAGACAACCCCAGAUAACAGCACAGAGAGCCCAGACAUCCUUAAACUUCAUGUAAACUCAUGAUGUUAAAAACAGCCAGAGGGUGAUUAACUCAUGAACCCCAAGUGCGUUCUCAGAUCAUCCACAGAAACCAAAAAGCAGUGAAAUUUUCCAAAUGCACAGACACAGAAGCAGAAAGCAAGUGAUUUAAUCAAGACACCACAGAGAUUAAAGGUAAGCAUCUACUUACCACGUGAAUGAAUGUUUGUCUCAUUUUGAUCUGUCUUAACCAACUAUACAAAAUUCCUAUGAACUGAGAAAAGAUUUAUUAUACUCCCUUGUGAAAUCAGAGGCUAAACUAUGAAGCUUCAGUUUUAUUUCAGGCAACCUCCUGACAUAAACACAAUCUAGAUA